AGAGUCCUUACAAUUUGUAACUCUUAUCACAUAGUAAAAUCUAUCAAAAAUUUCGACACUACCAUCAUAUUUCUUAUUUGUAGCGGGAAAGGCAGGUGCCUUUAGGCCUAACUUCCAUCGCCGCCGCACCGGUAUUACCCACCACCUCCAGUUCAGCCCAUCGAGGUAGCAGAGCCGCCAUAGACCGGCGUUUGAGUGUUAAGCCGAUCCAAUAAUCCAAUGGCAUCAAAAUUAUGGGGAUGGUUAUUGGUAUCAAUUGGAUCACUUCUCUUUGUUGGUUACUUCUUUCUUGCUCUUUUUUCAAAGCUUCUUCCUCCUUCCAAUAACCCUUUCAUCUCUUCCUUCCAAAAUGACUGGUACUAUUGCUUCUUAGUGCCAUUGACUCUGCCUAUAAUUGUGGUUGCUGUGUACUUCCAUUGGCUCAGCAUGAAGAUGUUCAAGCAUGCUUAAUGUAUCUUCAAACACAUUUUGAAAGAAUCUACCUAUAUACUGUCAGAGAAACAACCAUGGUUAUUGCAGAUUUUUUUUCGCUAGCCCUGCAGGACCAGCAUUCGUCUAACCAACUUAAGGAUCCGACUUUGUUCAAAUUUUCUGUUGCAUCCUGCUUUAGUAUAUGUGUUAUACAUACCAUGACUGAUUGUUUGUAAAGAUCAUUGAUGUCUGUUUUACCUUAGAAUCUUGCAUGUGGGCUAUCUCCAGUUUUCAUGUCAUGUACUAUUUCUAUUGAAAGUAGUUAUGUAUACGAACUUGGUCCUUUUAGAAUGAAGGUGUGUUUGGGUAAACAAUUUAAUAAAACGCUUUCAAUAA